GACGAACGCUGGCGGCGUGCUUAACACAUGCAAGUCGAACGGAAAGGCCCUGCUUUUGUGGGGUGCUCGAGUGGCGAACGGGUGAGUAACACGUGAGUAACCUGCCCUUGACUUUGGGAUAACUUCAGGAAACUGGGGCUAAUACCGGAUAGGAGCUCCUGCUGCAUGGUGGGGGUUGGAAAGUUUCGGCGGUUGGGGAUGGACUCGCGGCUUACCAGCUUGUUGGUGGGGUAGUGGCUUACCAAGGCUUUGACGGGUAGCCGGCCUGAGAGGGUGACCGGCCACAUUGGGACUGAGAUACGGCCCAGACUCCUACGGGAGGCAGCAGUGGGGAAUAUUGCACAAUGGGCGGAAGCCUGAUGCAGCAACGCCGCGCGCGGGAUGACGGCCUUCGGGUUGUAAACCGCUUUCGCCUGUGACGAAGCGUGAGUGACGGUAAUGGGUAAAGAAGCACCGGCUAACUACGUG
rnacentral:rRNA from 1 species